rnacentral:tRNA from 1 species
GAUUGUGGCUCAAUGGUAGAGUGCUUGCUUCGCAUAUGUGAGGCACUGAGUUCAAUUCUCAGCACA